CGUUUUCUUUAGGUUUUGAUUUUCGCAUGAGCAUACCAUAAAAAUCAAAACCUAAAAAAAUA
rnacentral:pre_miRNA from 1 species